UUACGAACCACUUGGGGGUCUUGUUAAAAUGCAGAUUCUGUUCCAGCAGGUCUGAGGGAUCUGAGAUUUUGCAUUUCUGGCCAGUACCCAGGGAUAUUAAU
rnacentral:pre_miRNA from 1 species